rnacentral:lncRNA from 1 species
GUUUGCUGCGUGCGUUCGUCGCUUGGCCCGCUUGCUGUUCUCGCAAAAGCGCGGGGCAGAGGAGAGAAAGAAGCCUCUCGUUCUCCGAGAGAGACGCAGAGGCCGCAGUCAGGGCCUGGAUAUACUCGGAGGCUCGGCUUCUCCUCUGGGUGCUCCUUGUUGCUUCCAGGGAAAGUUUAGUCUGGAUCUGAGGCCUCGUGGCGCUCUUCCUGGUUUUUCAAUUUUGGUGGAGAAAUAGAGUUUGUGGUGAAGUAAAUGGCACCGCUGGAAUCCAAACCCUAAUGAAGCAGAGUCUCUUCUUAACCACUGUCUAUACUAAAGGUAAUUUAAAACAGGGUGCAGACAACAGGAAAGCAACAACUCUGGUUUGGUCACCGUGGUGGUCUUGCCCGGCACAUGGUGGGAGUCCAGCCAGAGCUGAUGGCCUCCUCUUCCCUCCUGACUAUUCAUCUGCUUCCACUCCAGGAGCACCACAGGCAUCUCCCCUGAUGCAGGGUAAAUUGCAGAAGCCAUGGUACCAGCCCGCAUCCAUGACCCCACAGAUAUUCCCCUUCUCCAAGUGGACUGACCCAGGCCUUUUACAAACACAGAAGGAUCUUGUGCAAGAUGAAUUCUAGUACUAGCUACUAAAAGAUCUCUUCACACAAAAGGCAAUAUUCCUGAAUUUGUAUUGGUCCAGGCAUUCGAGAAUCAAGGUGCAUCCGUAGGAAGAAAGAGAGAGAGACCAGUUCUGAAGAGUAUCUGCUGGUGAAUGUUACUUAAAUCUGAACUUUGAGUCAUGAAAAAUAGAAAGAUGUACGUCGUUAUGGUACUGUUUCCAGUUUUUAGCACACCAUAGAAAGAGCUGGGAACAGGAGGAAGGACUCCCUGUGUAAUGGUGGGAAGUCUGAAUGGCUUCAGCUGGCAUUCAGGAGCUUGUAUGCAUCUCUCCUCGCCCAACAGGUCCCAUACCAGUAGAGCCAGAACUGGUCUUUUUCAAAAACCAUUUUAUUACAGAAGGCUGCUUUCUGAGGGUGGAUUAAUGUCCAAACCUCUUAGCUAAUUAGUGUGGAACACAAAUCACCCUUAUGUAAUUAGGCUUGACAAUCAAAUGAGAAGUCAAAGCAAAUGUUUCAACUGGGUGUCUGUCCCUUAGAAGCUUUAAGGCAGCUGGACAGGCUGUUUUGUGUCUUCUCUAGUACAGUGUUGAUAUAACUUCAUGUUAUGAGUAAUAUUUUCUAUUUUGCACCAUCAAUUCCUUCAUGGUAAAAUCCAAGGAUGCUUCAUAUAUUAAGAUUCUUUUCUCAAGGUCUAAAUGGAGAAUUAAUCUUGAAUGAUUGGAUUUUAUUCUAGAAAGAGGUAUUUGUGGAUUUCUGUGAUGGGAAAAGUCUGUAUUAGUUAAAAAGAAGUCAAGACUAAUUGGACUGAUUAGCGGGGUAACUGUUAAGUUGCAAAUGGAGAAAAUAAUAAUCACCACUCCCCCAAACCCCUCCCAGUCUUCCUUUGAAGUCCUCUUAAUAGAUGGACUUAAUAGAUGGGUUAUAUCUAAAUUGGUAUCUGAAGCUGUUACUCCAAGGACAUUCCUUUGGAUAGAUGCCUAGCAUUGGUCCUUUCAUGUAACCGUCUUUCAUUGCAAGAACAUAUUGUAUAAUGGCAAUUGGUGAAUGAAAAAUUUGGUUUGUAAUAAUCAGCUGUUCGGAAACUGAGAUAUUCAGUCUGUGACAUAUGAAUUUUUUUUUUUUUUUGUCUUUUUAGGGCUGCACCCUCAGCCUGGGAACCUCCAUAUGCCGCAGGUGCGGCCCUAGAAAAGACAAAAAAAAAAAAAAGUGUUAGUAAAGGAAAAAGCAAAAACAAACAAACAAAUGCAAGCUGGAAACAAAGAGUUGUAGAGGAAAAUCUGGUAAAAUAAUUGGUAUCACUUCACCAAGCUAUAUUUUUAGAUAUUAAAGACAAUGAAUUAGAGAUAUCAUGGUUGAGGAAGUAUUAUAGAAUGGGAAAAUAAAGGAUGCAGAGAACUCUGUAUAAAACAAUCCAAUUUGUAAAAUCAACAUGGAUCGACAAAAUUCCAGGUGUUUAUGAUGACAUAAGCAAAGAAAAAUAAAGAUAACAGUUUGAGUCUACUAACAUGGGAUCCUGAAAAACUGUGGGAUAGGAAAAAUGAGGGCAAGAGAAAAAGAAAAUUAAAGACUGCACUAAGCAGAUCUCCAUCAAAUAUGAUAGUUGUAAAAUUAACGUGUGCAUGAAUGUAUGUACAAAGAAGUAGAAAUAAAGGUUAGAAUUUGAGCAACUGAAUUGUAGACACAAUUGCUGUAGACUGAAAAAGAAAAUAUUGAAGUAAUGAGAAUAGCAUUAUUUUAGAUUGUAAAACAAAGCCAUCCAAUUCUCAAUGAACCCAUCAAACGUGUAUAUAUGUGUUUUCUUUUUCCUUUUUUUUUUUUUUUUGGCCUCACCCACAGCAUGUGGAAGUUCCCAGGCAAGGAACUGAAUUCAAGCUGCAGCAGUGACAACACGGACUUCUUGACCCACUGAGCCAUCAGGGAACUCCCCUUGUGUGUGUGUGCUUUUGUAUUUACGUGUACUUGCGUAAUAGGGAAAAACAAAUCUAGUUCUAUAUUAGAUCUGUUUCUUCUACUUUAACCUUUGUACUCUAUUUUUUUUUUUACUAAACUUUAGACCUUGUAUUCUAUCGCUUUUUCUACAAGUUAAGAAAGUUGCUUUUAGCCUGAAAUAUACAGGAUAGCCCAUUCUUAAGGCUGUAACCUUUAAGGGUAUAAUUUUUUCCAUUCACAUGGAGAUAAAAAGUUGCCGGAAUACCCUGGUGGUUCAGCAGAUUAAGGAUCUGGCGUUGUCACUGCUGUAGCCAGGGUUGCUACUGUAGCACGGGUUCAGUCUCUGACCCUGGAACUUUGCAUGCAGCUGGUGAGG